UACAGAGGUCUCAAGCGUUGUUCGGAUUCAUUGGGCGUAAAGGGUGCGUAGGCGGCGGGGCAAGUCGGAUGUGAAAUCUCAGGGCUCAACCCUGAAACUGCAUUCGAUACUGCCUUGCUCGAGGACUGGAGAGGAGAUUGGAAUUCACGGUGUAGCAGUGAAAUGCGCAGAUAUCAGGAAGAACACCCGUGGCGAAGGCGGCUCUCUGGUACGUGACAGACGCUGAGACGCGAAAGCGUGGGGAGCAAACAGG
rnacentral:rRNA from 1 species